CCCCCUUAGUUUGCAGCUAUCGCAUUAACCACUCCGCCCCGGGGAUUUUUUCGACUCUCGCAAGGUUGAAACUCAAAGGAAUGAUGGGGACCCGCACAAGCGGUGGAGCAUGCGUUUUAAUUCGAAGCACCGCGAAGAACCUUACCAAAUCUUGACUUCCUUUGACAACUCUAGAGAUAGAGCCUUCCCCUUCGGGGGACAAAGUGACAGGUGGUGCAUGGUUGUCGUCAGCUCGUGUCUGAGAUGUUGGGUUAUCCCGCCCGUCGAAUCCAAUUCUAUUUUCAACCG
rnacentral:rRNA from 1 species